UGCUUUACACCUGAAAAUGAAACCAGAGGAUAUAAAGAAACAAUACACUUCUGCUAUUUUGUUUGCAAAGUUAAUAAAUGUUGUUCUGUUGUACAAAGCUCUCUUCCCCUGUUCCACAGUAGGUGAAGUGGUUUGAGGUGGACAGAUUUACAGACAUGGAUCAAAUGAAUAACAUGAGAGAGAACACUACUGGACUGGAGCGAGACACAAGUAAAUGAACAUGAAAUUAAAAUGACAAUCCCCCUGAAAGUCAAUACGCCUACAAAAACACCAUAAAACUCAGAACUCCACUCCAGAACUUCAAAGUCAGAGAAGAUGUUCCAGAUGAACACUCUGGUGAAGGUGAAAGCUGUUUGGUCACAUUUUUACUUGAAUAUACCAUUUGACUGCAGCCUUUGAUGCAGUGGAUCAUGACAUCCUGAUAGCUCGUUUGGCGCAGUGGGUGGCCAUUAGUGGCACAGCACUAGAAUGGUUCAGGUCCUACUUGUCCCAGCAAACAUUGUGUUAGCCUUGCUGACUCUGUGUACUCUGUCUGAAUCAUUGACUGGUGUGCUUUGAAAUGAAAAUUGCAUGGUAAAGUACAUAUUAUGGAACAUUAUGGUUUUCUUUCAUGAGCAAAUGUUAGGCCGGUUACUAUGGAGUUCUUUCAAGUCAAAUGGUCAUGUGUUGAGAGAACUGGCAUGCAUCACUCUAUCAGUGCCCUCCAGCAAACAUCAGCAGGAUUUCAAUCAUAUAUUCCAAUUGUUCCCUUUAUUGACUCAUUGUAUGUGAUCAAAUGUAUGUCUUGAUUAAUAACUGGUUAUUGGAUUGCAUUGCUCACCUCAUUCUCCUUCAACUGGGAUUUGGGUUGAGGGCUGGGGUCCUAUUCCUGAGGCUGAAUCUGUAGUAUGUAUGUGAGGGCAUCUCAUUAGUUAUGAUUAUGAAACCAGUUCU